CCUCUUAAACAGCAACUACAACCUUCUUUUUGUUUAGUUUUCGAAAAGGUUAUUAGGACCCAAACAUAAUGCAUUUUGAGAUAACCAUCACCUCCUACGCCUCUCGACAUCCUACACCUCUCAACACCCUCGCAUCUCGACACCACCCUUUCACCCUCUCUGUUUCAAUAACAAUUCACCGGAGCUCGCUAGAGAUCGAAGUUCACGACGGAACUGUUUGGCCAUGUUUCGCUCACCGAGCACGUAGCCGGAAACACCUUCCUUGCACCUCGCCGCAGAUCGAAGCUCACCGGAGACGAAAACGACAUCGGAGGUUCGCAACGGAUUCACACAUCACGAAGUUCGUCCGCACCUGUUUCCAUUUGGUGAAGAUGAUAUAGUUGGUUCGGGUUCACGUCUUUUCCUCGCGGAUAAUCGUUCCCGUUCGUUCGGUUUCCCUAUUUUAUUCGUGCGUUAUUCUACAAGGAAUCGCAAACGCAACCACUCGUAAUGUCGAGACUCCACCAACUUUCCUCGCGAUUUAAGUGUACUUCCUACGCAAAAUUGUUGAUGAUGACGAUGCUAUGAAAAGAAGUAGCGUUGAUGCCUAGAUACACAUAUAGACGUUAGGUUUAAUAUGUCGUAUCGAUUUUGCUUAUGUUAUUAUGUUUUCUUUUGAACUUGUUGUUACUUGAGUUUAUGUAAUGUUGACAACUUGAAGUUAUGAAAUGAAAUGGGAAUUAUUUAA